AGGACGAACGCUGGCGGCGUGCUUAACACAUGCAAGUCGAGCGGUAAGGCCUUUCGGGGUACACGAGCGGCGAACGGGUGAGUAACACGUGGGUGAGUCUGCCCUGCACUUCGGGAUAAGCCUGGGAAACUGGGUCUAAUACCGGAUAUGACCUUCCUAUCGCAUGGUGGGUGGUGGAAAGAUUUUAUCGGUGCGAGGGAUCGGGCCCGCGGCCUAGUCGAGUCUUGGUUGGUAGGGUAAUCGGCCUAACCGAAGGCG
rnacentral:rRNA from 1 species